rnacentral:rRNA from 1 species
ACGAACGCUGGCGGCGUGCUUAACACAUGCAAGUCGAACGGAAAGGCCCUUUCGGGGGUACUCGAGUGGCGAACGGGUGAGUAACACGUGGGUGAUCUGCCCUGCACUUUGGGAUAAGCCUGGGAAACUGGGUCUAAUACCGAAUACACCUCACUGACUGCAUGGUCUGGUGGGGGAAAGCUUUUGCGGUGUGGGAUGGGCCCGCGGCCUAUCAGCUUGUUGGUGGGGUGAUGGCCUACCAAGGCGACGACGGGUAGCCG